AGAAGAGAUCGUGCAGAUUCGAUAGGCAAGUAGCCACGAGCUCGCACGGAUCCCAGCGCGAUCUUGCUCGCGAUCUGUCCAACGUAUUUGUGGAAACAAAGGGUACGAGGAGAAGAGUAAGAGAAAGAGGAGGAGCAGGAAUAAGAAAGAGAAAGAGAGAUGGCUGUUCCGAGCAAUGCGAGAUACGUUCGAUCGAACGAGAAAGGAUCAAGAAGGGAUCGAGGAACGAUCGUCGUCGUUCGUCAACGUAGGUUGCCACGAGUCUUGCUCCACAAAUCGAAGGAUUAGUUUACCCUUAGUACGAUCGGAGACGCUAGAAGGAGAUAGAUCGAUAUCAGAGAAAUCGAUGGGAGUUACGACGAUGGACGAGGAACGAAGCGAACCCAGGACGAUCUUAACAAAAUUACGGAAAAUACGUAUGAGCUGUAUCGAGAUAAUCAAACGUAUCUACCAUGAAAUUUGUCCAAGAAGAGUGAUCGGCUUCCGGUGUGACAUCAGAAAAUGUACCAGCACCCUUUUGGAAUGUAGUAUGGGACCUUGCAAAAAAGAUAUCAUGGUAUUCGAGGUCAUCGACCAAAGGAAAAUCGAUCCUAACAUAAUAUCACAGCCUUUUACGGACGAUCAUUGAUCGAUCAUAUUUAUAUGGCGAUCGUGAACUGGCUAUUCACCAAAGCAAAUCGACUUUUAUCGUUUUAUAAGAAGAUCUAAGCUAUCCUCUUCAUUCCGAACGAACGAACGCUCGUAUAUUCUUCUCGA